ACUGCUUUUCCUAAACUCUUCAAGAGUUGCUAAGAACUUGGUCCCAGAAUUCUCAUCUUGGAGCCCAGUGAUCCAUUGCCAGUCAUCAGACCUACUUUAUGGGUAGAAUCCCACUUCUCACCUAAAGUACACACCCUAGACUCAGGCAAUCCAGAUCACUUCUUGCUUGUUUCUAUAGGACAUUUUCCCCAGGCAAUCCAUCUACUUGUUUAGAAAAGGUUUGAUCAUGAUGACCAAAGGAUCGCUUAUCAGUGAGAUUUCUUUCUGUGUAGCUUGGCCUUAACCUCUAGAUCCACCUGCUGCAACCUUCCAACUCUUGAGAUUACAGACUUCCCAAUGCUGUCUUCAGGAAGCGAGUCCAAAGACAGACACAGAAGGAUCACUAAGUUCUUCCUAUGUUCCUGACACAGAGAAUCAAGGGGUGAGUGAUUCAGUGCAGACACAGCUUCUUGUCAUCUGUAUCUAUUGUGACUCAAACAUAAAGUACUUCCAGAGAUUCAUGUGUCUAAAAGUUUGGGCUCUACUAAUGGAACCCUGGGGUUAGAAGACCCUGAGAAGGGAACCCUUGCUAAAGGAAGUAGUGUGCUGUCACUGAUAUGGGGGUAUUGUAUAAUUUAUAACUCAAACUCUUUCUGCUCCAAACACUCUCUACUCCUGACUGCCAAUAUGAUUUGACCUCACGUGCCAGCACCAUGUUUGCUGCUGUGAUGAACUGUAUCCUUUCGAACUGUGAGUCAAAAUUAAUCCUACUGCCCUUAAGUGGACUCUUGUCAAGUAGUUGGUCACAACAAUAAGAAAUGUUACUAUCUCUUUUGGUUUGUGUUUUCUUAUUCCUUUGUGUUUCUUCUGCCCUAGCCUUCAUUCUUUCCUGUCCCUGCUUCUCCCUCUUCGACUUCAUUUUCUUCAUCUUUCCUUGAUACUAAGGGAUCAAUGGGGGCUUUGUUGAGCCCUUUUGCUGUACUUGAGGUGGGAGAAUCAGCUGUACUCCUGGAGAACACAUUGAGGUUCAAACUAGGACAGAGGAAAGAAGCACACGGUAAGAUUCUGCACACGCAACUAUGGUAUCAUCUAGACUGGAAGCUACCAUGAUUGUAUAAAGUAAUAAUAGUAGUAGUGACUUUUACAAUAGUACUCUUGGUUCAGUACCUAGUUACAUGCAAAAUGCAUGCAGGCAUUAUAUACAUAUUGCCAUGUAAUACUUCUAGCAACAACUCCAUGAAACACUUAUAACUUGACCCAGUUAUAAUUAAGAUAAACCCCAUGUCUCUUAUGCUAAUGACUGAGUUCUCCAGGAAUCAAUUUCAUUAUGAAUUCAGGUUCCAGAGAGUUAGACAAUCUUGUGUAUCUCCAGAGCCAUUCUUUGGAAAUCCAAAUCCUAAGGAGAGAUCUGAAGACUCUGCCAAGUCUGACUUUUCCCUUUCCUUUCUAUAAGUCUGGAGGCUGACAGAAUUUACCUGAAUACAAAAUGCCCUUUCUUUAUCAAGCAUCUUUACUUUCUGAUGAGUUUACAAUUUGAUGACAUCACAUUCGUCAUCAAAAUAUCUAUAGUUGUGGGAUUUUUCAGGAUGGAUAUGAGAUAUUAAUCUCACUUAGCAAGUGAGAUUUUUACCACAUUGGGGCAAAAGAGUAGGUAGUUCUAGAAUCAGGGUUUGUGAAUCUCGAUAUGGGAUCAACAAGGGAUAUAUACCCCAUGUUUUAUUCUUCUCCUUCUCAGUCUGUCUGGGAGCCAAGAAGAAAAGUGCAGGUGUCUCACCAUGAACCAAAAGAUCAAGUCCAUCUGUCAAGGUGAUAACACAUGAGAAUAAAAUGGUUAGGUCUGGGGAUGUAGCUCUCCUUAAAAACUGCUUGCCUGGCAUACAUAAAGCCUCAAGGUCCAUUGUCAGCACCACAUAGCCGGUUAUAGCAGUGUACACCUGAGAUCCCAGAGCAGGAGAAUGGAGGCAGGAGGAGCUGAAGUUCAAGGCCAUUCUCAGCUACAUAGUAAGUGUGAAGCCAGAAAGUAUCAAAGAUGGGGAGGGCGGAGAGAGAGAGAGAGAAGGGUUGGAAUGGGAUGGGAGAAGGAAGGAAAAGGAAGGGAAGUCAUCCUGACUUGUGCUCACAGUGGCAAGUAUCAUUUCUGACCACAGAGAAGACUCCAAAGGCGAAUGGAACUGAGAAAGAGGGGCAAGGUGGUUGUCUUACCUGAGG